GACGAAAAAUGAAUACCAAGUCUCAAGAGUGAACACGUAAUUCAUUACGAAGUUUAAUUCAUUGAGCAUCAAACUUUUAAAUUGAAGAGUUUGAUCAUGGCUCAGAUUGAACGCUGGCGGCAGGCCUAACACAUGCAAGUCGAACGGUAACAGGAAGCAGCUUGCUGCUUUGCUGACGAGUGGCGGACGGGUGAGUAAUGUCUGGGAAACUGCCUGAUGGAGGGGGAUAACUACUGGAAACGGUGGCUAAUACCGCAUAACGUCGCAAGACCAAAGAGGGGGACCUUCGGGCCUCUUGCCAUCAGAUGUGCCCAGAUGGGAUUAGCUUGUUGGUGAGGUAACGGCUCACCAAGGCGACGAUCCCUAGCUGGUCUGAGAGGAUGACCAGCCACACUGGAACUGAGACACGGUCCAGACUCCUACGGGAGGCAGCAGUGGGGAAUAUUGCACAAUGGGCGCAAGCCUGAUGCAGCCAUGCCGCGUGUAUGAAGAAGGCCUUCGGGUUGUAAAGUACUUUCAGCGGGGAGGAAGGUGUUGUGGUUAAUAACCGCAGCAAUUGACGUUACCCGCAGAAGAAGCACCGGCUAACUCCGUGCCAGCAGCCGCGGUAAUACGGAGGGUGCAAGCGUUAAUCGGAAUUACUGGGCGUAAAGCGCACGCAGGCGGUCUGUCAAGUCGGAUGUGAAAUCCCCGGGCUCAACCUGGGAACUGCAUUCGAAACUGGCAGGCUUGAGNNNNNNNNNNNNNNNNNNNNGAAUUCCAGGUGUAGCGGUGAAAUGCGUAGAGAUCUGGAGGAAUACCGGUGGCGAAGGCGGCCCCCUGGACAAAGACUGACGCUCAGGUGCGAAAGCGUGGGGAGCAAACAGGAUUAGAUACCCUGGUAGUCCACGCCGUAAACGAUGUCUACUUGGAGGUUGUGCCCUUGAGGCGUGGCUUCCGGAGCUAACGCGUUAAGUAGACCGCCUGGGGAGUACGGCCGCAAGGUUAAAACUCAAAUGAAUUGACGGGGGCCCGCACAAGCGGUGGAGCAUGUGGUUUAAUUCGAUGCAACGCGAAGAACCUUACCUGGUCUUGACAUCCACGGAAGUUUUCAGAGAUGAGAAUGUGCCUUCGGGAACCGUGAGACAGGUGCUGCAUGGCUGUCGUCAGCUCGUGUUGUGAAAUGUUGGGUUAAGUCCCGCAACGAGCGCAACCCUUAUCCUUUGUUGCCAGCGGUCCGGCCGGGAACUCAAAGGAGACUGCCAGUGAUAAACUGGAGGAAGGUGGGGAUGACGUCAAGUCAUCAUGGCCCUUACGACCAGGGCUACACACGUGCUACAAUGGCGCAUACAAAGAGAAGCGACCUCGCGAGAGCAAGCGGACCUCAUAAAGUGCGUCGUAGUCCGGAUUGGAGUCUGCAACUCGACUCCAUGAAGUCGGAAUCGCUAGUAAUCGUGGAUCAGAAUGCCACGGUGAAUACGUUCCCGGGCCUUGUACACACCGCCCGUCACACCAUGGGAGUGGGUUGCAAAAGAAGUAGGUAGCUUAACCUUCGGGAGGGCGCUUACCACUUUGUGAUUCAUGACUGGGGUGAAGUCGUAACAAGGUAACCGUAGGGGAACCUGCGGUUGGAUCACCUCCUUACCUUAAAGAAGCGUACUUUGCAGUGCUCACACAGAUUGUCUGAUGAAAA
rnacentral:rRNA from 1 species